rnacentral:lncRNA from 1 species
CCCCCGAGACCUUGUAGUUCUUUCUUGUGUGAAAACGUCUAUUUCCCAGAUAAUCGUCUUAAAAUGUCACAUCAACAGUAUCAUGUUUCAAAUAUGACUUUUACCUGUUUUGGACAAUUUUUGUAAUUUUUACUUUUUUUCUACAAAUAAGUAGAUAUAUUUUUUACGUGAAUUCAGGACUUGUUAAUUUAAGUUUGAAAUAACAUUAACUUAGUAAUUAUGAACGAAAUCAGAGCAACUGGUUCAGGUUUUGAACUUAACUCUGAACGUAUUACACAGAGUGCAUUUGAUUUCACGAUGAAACAUCACCAACAGCUUCCGGAUGAUGGCAAUGUUGAAUCCGAUGAUGAUUCUUAUUUUAUAACAGACUCCAAACGGAACGGUGGAGAUAGGAAUACAGAGUCAAAGAAUGAAGGAGACCAUCUAGAUAUACUAUCUGAUAGUGAGAAAGACGCAGCCGACAGGG